rnacentral:rRNA from 1 species
AUUGAACGCUGGCGGCAGGCCUAACACAUGCAAGUCGAGCGGAUGAAGGGAGCUUGCUCCUGGAUUCAGCGGCGGACGGGUGAGUAAUGGCUAGGAAUCUGGCUGGUAGUGGGGGAUAACGUCCGGUAACGGGCGCUAAUACCGCAUACGUUCUGAGGGAGGAAGGGGGGGAGCUUCGGACCUCACGCUAUCAGAUGAGCCUAGGUCGGAUUGGCUAGUUGGUGGGGUAAAGGCCUACCAAGGCGACGACCCGUAACUGCUCUGAGAGGAUGAUCAGUCACACUGGAACUGAGACACGGUCCAGGCUCCUACGGGAGGCAGCAGUGGGGAAUAUUGGACAUAGGGCGAAAGCCUGAUCCAGCCAUGCCGCGUGUGUGAAGAAGGUCUUCGGAUUGUAAAGCACUUUAAGUUGGGAGGAAGGGCAGUAAGCUAAUACCUUGCUGUGUUGACGGUACCAACAGAAUAAGCACCGGCUAACUUCGUG